rnacentral:tRNA from 1 species
GUUGUGGCUCAGUGGUACAGUGCUCGAUUGGCAUGUGUGAGGCACUGGGUUCAACACUCAGCACAACA